UCUAGAUGGGGUUUCGCUCUUCUUGCCCAGGAUGGAGUGCAAUGGCGCAAUGUCUGCUCACUGCAACCUCUGCUUCCCGGGUUCAAGCAAUUCUCCUGCCUCAGGUAGCUGGGAUUACAGGAAACCCCAGUGAGACCCUCUUAUAUGAUCUCAACACACCAGCCCUGAGCUAUCACAUCACUCAUCAUCCUGGAUUGUGACUACGUAUUUAUUGGUCUCUCUCCUCCUUUAAGUUGUGUGCUCCAUAAAGGUAGGGAUUGUGCUCUUCAGAUUGUUUGUGAAUAAGUAAAGGCUUGUUCAAUGAUUAUGUCCUGAAUGAAUGAAUGAAGUAUCACUUACUAGUGAGUUGACUUAUGUCACUAACUUCCUACUAUUGCAAUUUUUGGCUCAUGC
rnacentral:lncRNA from 1 species